CCGCGGUAAUACGGAGGGUGCAAGCGUUAUCCGGAUUCACUGGGUUUAAAGGGUGCGUAGGCGGAUUUUUAAGUCCGUGGUGAAAUCUCCGAGCUUAACCCGGAAACUGCCGUUGAUACUAUUUGUCUUGAAUAUUGCGGAGGUAAGCGGAAUAUGUCAUGUAGCGGUGAAAUGCUUAGAUAUGACAUAGAACACCAAUUGCGAAGGCAGCUUACUACACAAUCAUUGACGCUGAGGCACGAAAGCGUGGGGAUCAAACAGGAUUAGAUACCCUGGUAGUCCACGCCCUAAACGAUGAUUACUCGACGUGUGCGAUACACUGUACGCGUCUGAGCGAAAGCAUUAAGUAAUCCACCUGGGAAGUACGACCGCAAGGUUGAAACUCAAAGGAAUUGACGG
rnacentral:rRNA from 1 species